GUGGGGGAUAUUGCGCAAUGGGGGCAACCCUGACGCAGCAACGCCGCGUGAAGGAUGAAGGUUUUCGGAUUGUAAACUUCUUUUAUUAAGGACGAAAAAUGACGGUACUUAAUGAAUAAGCUCCGGCUAACUACGUGCCAGCAGCCGCGGUAAUACGUAGGGAGCAAGCGUUGUCCGGAUUUACUGGGUGUAAAGGGUGCGUAGGCGGCUUUGCAAGUCAGAUGUGAAAUCUAUGGGCUCAACCCAUAAACUGCAUUUGAAACUGUAGAGCUUGAGUGAAGUAGAGGCAGGCGGAAUUCCCCGUGUAGCGGUGAAAUGCGUAGAGAUGGGGAGGAACACCAGUGGCGAAGGCGGCCUGCUGGGCUUUAACUGACGCUGAGGCACGAAAGCGUGGGUAGCAAACAGGAUUAGAAACCCGAGUAGUCC
rnacentral:rRNA from 1 species